rnacentral:sRNA from 1 species
UUUUUUUUGUGUGUUUUU